rnacentral:rRNA from 1 species
CCUACGGGAGGCUGCAGUGGGGAAUCUUCCGCAAUGGGCGAAAGCCUGACGGAGCAACGCCGCGUGAGUGAAGACGGCCUUCGGGUUGUAAAGCUCUGUUAUAGGGGACGAACGGCCGGGUAGCGAAGAGGUAGCCGGCAUGACGGUACCGUAAGAGAAAGCCACGGCUAACUACGUGCCAGCAGCCGCGGUAAUACGUAGGUGGCAAGCGUUGUCCGGAAUGAUUGGGCGUAAAGGGCGCGCAGGCGGCUGUGUAAGUCUGUCUAAAAAGUGCGGGGCUAAACCCCGUGAGAGGAUGGAAACUGGACAGCUGAGAGUGUCGGAGAGGAAAGCGGAAUUCCUAGUGUAGCGGUGAAAUGCGUAGAUAUUAGGAGGAACACCGGUGGCGAAAGCGGCUUUCUGGACGACAACUGACGCUGAGGCGCGAAAGCCAGGGGAGCAAACGGGAUUAGAUACCCCAGUAGUC